rnacentral:tRNA from 1 species
CCUUCGAUAGCUCAGUUGGUAGAGCGGGGGACUGUAGAUUUAUAAUUGUGAUCCCUAGGUCGCUGGUUCGAAUCCGGCUCGAAUGA